rfam:Picea glauca, whole genome shotgun sequence.
AUGUACAUGCCUACAACAUAAUGUUAAUGCACCAUAUCCCAUUAGAACUCUACAGUUAAGCGUUCUUGGGCUAGAGUAGUACUGGGAUGUGUGACCACCCGAUAAGUCUUAGUGUUUUACAUG